rnacentral:rRNA from 1 species
UACGGAGGGUGCUAGCGUUGUUCGGAAUUACUGGGCGUAAAGCGCACGUAGGCGGACUGGUAAGUCAGAGGUCAAAGACCAGGGCUCAACCUUGGAACUGCCUUUGAAACUCCCGGUCUUGAGGUCGAGAGAGGUGAGUGGAAUUCCGAGUGUAGAGGUGAAAUUCGUAGAUAUUCGGAGGAACACCAGUGGCGAAGGCGGCUCACUGGCUCGAUACUGACGCUGAGGUGCGAAAGCGUGGGGAGCAAACAGG